ACAGUCUUCAAAUGAUCAGACACUAUUUCACAGUCAGUUACACACGACUGGGAUCAAAACAAAACACAUUUGUAAAAACCUCUAUUUUAGGAAAUAGC